CAGAUGAUUUCUUGUAUACAUGUUUCAUCAACAAGUCUAAUUCAUUUCUCAUCCUCCUUCCACAAUUAAUGCACUUUGAGCAGCUAAUAUUUCUUAUUUCUUUCUUUCAAACUCGUUCUGCAUAAGAAUAUGUUAAUUCAGGCCAUAAAAAGUGCUAAAAAUACGUUAUUAGCAUAAUUAUAUGAUAUUAUAGUAUUAAAUAAAAUCAUAACAAUCAACAAAUAUAAACAUGCAUAUAUUAGCAUAUAAAGCAUCAUAAACUCAAAGUUGAUUUUUCAGAUUAUUGUGACUAUUGUUAUGACUUGUUCUAUUAAGAUAACAGAGGAUGAAAUUAGAAGAAUAAGAGAACAAGAGGAAGGGUUCAAGUGGUUCCAUGUAUUUAACACUUAAUGUGAAGAAAAGCCUUUUCUUAUUUCUUAAAACUCUGUACCUGGUCAAAUGGAUUAUACAAGGUACACUGCAAUGGAUUAUACAUUGUUAGGUACACUGCAAUGGAUUAUACAAGAAGAUUUACUCAAUGAGAUAUUCUCAAACCAGAGAUCUUUUCAUAUAACCAAACAAAUUUAUUUUGUAACUAUACUUUAUUAGUGUCAAGUUAUUAGUACACAUUUCAAGUAACUAUACUUAACCAUUUUCAAGUCACAAGUUCACAAGUUCAAGUAACUACACUUAACCAUUUUCAAGUCACAAGUUCGCAAUUUCAAGUAACUACACUUAAUCAUUUUCAAUUCACUACACUUAAUAAUUUUCAAAUAACUUAUUCACAUUUCAAGUCACUAGUACACAUUUCAAGUCACUACACUCAAACCAUUUUCAAAGAGCUAACUGGCAUUUCAAGCACUAUACUUAACCAUUUUCAAGUAACUACACUUAGCCAUUUUCAAGUCACUAAUACACAUUUCAAAUCACUACACUUGACCAUUUUCAAACAAGUAAUUCACAUUUAAAGUCACUAUACUAAACCAUUUUCAAUUCACUAGUACACAUUUCAAAUCACUACACUUAACGAUUUUCAAAUAAUUAAUUCAUAAUUUCAAGUCACUUUACUUAACCAUUUUCAAGUAACUACUUCACAUUUCAAAUAAUUAUACUUAACCAUUUUCAAGUCAGUAUACUUAACCACUUUCAAGUAACUAAUUAACAUUUCAAGUAACUACACUUUAACCAUUUUCAAGUCACUAGUACACAUUUCAAGUCACUAUACUUGUCACACCCCUAUUUUUACCGCCCCCGACCCCGCUAGGGAGGUGGUUUUAGAGAAAAAUGGGUUUUUCCAAUUAAAGUAAUGUUUUGAAAAGAAAUUAUUUAUUUUAUAGAGUCGCCACUUGGAAUUGAGUUUGGGUGUUUCAAGUCACCUUAUUGAAUCCCUAUUCAAAAGGAAAUGACUCUUAAUUUUUGGUCUGGGAACUAAAAAUCCGGAUAAGGAAUUCUGUUGACCGAGGGGAAGGUGUGAGGUACCCCUCGAGUCCCGUGGUUCAAGCACGGUCGCUUUAAUGACUUACGGCUGGCUUAAAUUAGUCUCUUGGAUACAUAAUAUUUGUUAGCCUAAAAGUUAUUCGUAUAUUCUGCUUUAUAUUAUUUUGAAUUUAUUCAAAACUAUCUUAUUAUAUAACUACGUAGCUUUUAUAGGACGCCAUCCCCUAGUUGACAUCUUAUUCCUCUUCAUAAGGCAUCAUCCCCUAGUUAAUAUCUUAUCUAGUCUUCAUAGGGCGUAAUCCCCUAGUUGACAUCUUAUUUCAUCUUCAAAGGGCACCAUCCCCUAGUUGACAUCUUAUUCGUCUUCAUAGGGCGUCAUCCCCUAGUUGACAUCUUAUUCGUCUUCAUAGGGCAUCAUUCCCUAGUUGAUAUCUUAUUUCAUCUUUAUUGGGCGUCAUCCACUAGUUGAUAUCUUAUCUUGUCUUCAAAGGGCGUCAUCCCCUAGUUGACAUCUUAUUCGUCUUCAUAGGGCGUCAUCCCCUAGUUGACAUCUUAUUUCAUCUUCAUAGGGCGUCAUUCCAUAGUUGACAUCUUAUUCGUCUUCAUAGGGCUUCAUCCCCUAGUUGACAUCUUAUCUCGUCUUCAUAGGACGUCAUCCCCUAGUUGACAUCUUAUUCGUCUUCAUAGGCCGCUUUCACCUAGUUGACAUCUUAUUCGUCUUCAUAGGGCGCCAUGCCCUAGUUGAUAUCUUAUCUCGUCCUCAUAGGGCGCCAUACCCUAGUUGGCAUUUUAUCUUGUCUUCAUAGGGCGUCAUCUCCUAGUUAAUAUUUUAUUUCGUCUUCAUAGGGUAUCAUCCCCUAGUUGACAUCAUAUUCAUCUUCAUAGGGCACCAUCCCCUAGUUGAAAUCUUAUUUCGUCUUGAUAGGGCGCCAUCUCCUGGUUGACAUCUUAUCUCGUCUUCAUAGGGCGCCAUCCCCUGGUUGGUAUCUUAUUCGUCUUCAUAGGGCGUCAUCCCCUAGUUGACAUCUUAUCUCAUCUUUAUAGGGUGCCAUCCCCUAGUUGAAAUUUUAUUUCAUCUUUAUAGGGCGCCAUCCCAUAUUUGACAUCUUAUUCGUCUUCAUAGGACAUCAUCCCCUAGUUGACAUUUUAUCUCAUCUUCAUAGGGCGUCAUCCCCUAGUUGACAUCUUAUCUUGUCUUCAUAGGGCGUCAUCCCCUAGUUGACAUCUUAUCUCGUUUUCAUAAGGCGUCAUCCCCUAGUUGACAUCUUUUCUUAUCUUCAUAGGGCGUAAUUUCCUAGUUGACAUCUUAUUCGUCUUCAUAGGGCGUCAUCCCCUAGUUGACAUCUUAUUUCAUCUUCAUAGCGUACCAUUCCCUAGUUGACAUUUUAUCUCAUCUUUAUAGGGUGCUAUUCCCUAGUUCGUAUCUUAUCUCAUUUUCAGAGGGCGCCAUACCCUAGUUGAUAUUUUAUCUUGUCUUCAUAGGGCGUCAUCCCCUAGUUGACAUCUUAUUUCGUCUUCAUAGGGUGUCAUCCCCUAGUUGACAUCAUAUUCAUCUUCAUAGGGCACCAUCAUCUUAUUUCGUCUUCAUAGGGCGCCAUCCCCUAGUAAAUAUCUUAUCUCGUCUUCAUAAGGCGUCAUCCCCUGGUUGAUAUCUUAUUCGUCUUCAUAGGGCGCCAUCCUCUAGUUGACAUCUUAUUCGUCUUCAUAAGGCGUCAUCCCCUAGUUGACAUCUUAUCUCAUCUUCAUAGGGCGCUAUCCCCUAGUUAACAUCUUAUCUCGUCUUCAUAGGGCGUCAUCCCCUGGUUGACAUCUUAUUCAUCUUCAUAGGGCGCCAUCCCCUGGUUGACAUCUUAUCUCAUCUUCAUAAGGCGCCAUCCCAUUGUUGACAUCUUAUUCGUCUUCAUAGGGCGCCAUCCCUUAGUUGACAUCUUAUUCGUCUUCAUAGGGUGCCAUCCCCUAGUUGACAUCUUAUUUCGUCUUCAUAGGGCGUCAUCCCCUAGUUGACACCUUAUCUCAUCUUCAUAAGGCGUCAUCUCCUGCUUUACAUCUUAUUCAUCUUCAUAGGGCGUCAUCCCCUAGUUGACAUCUUUUCUCGUCUUCAUAGGGCGCCAUCCCCUAAUUGACAUUUUAUCUCAUCUUCAUAGGGCGUCAUCCCCUUGUUGACAUCUUAUUUGUCUUCAUAGGGCGUCAUUCCCUAGUUGACAUCUUAUUCAUCUUCAUAGGGUGUCAUCCCCUAGUUGACAUUUUAUUUCGUCUUCAUAGGGCGUCAUCCCCUAGUUGAUAUUUUAGGAAACAAACCUUCCUAUUUUUCUUCUUUAUGUCUUCAUAGGGUAUGACAAUCCCUAGUUACAUUUUAAGAAGCAAAUAUCCUAACUCUUUUUCAUGCAUUCAUAAGGAAUAACUUCCUUUGGUUGCAUUAUUGAGAAUAGGGUUCUUAUUUUAUUGCGUACCUAGCCUAGAUUUCUAUCAUUUUCAUUUAUUUAUUUAUAAUUUUUCUAAUAAAUCACAAAUUUUCCUAACGCAAAAUUGGGGCAGAAAAUUUUGUUCGUUCUGUUUUGUUUUUCUUUGAUGGCUUGCAGGUUUUUCUACAAAGCAUAGGUUUGAUAUCGCGAAUGAAAUUUCAUCUCCGGUUAGAAUAUAGAAGAAUGGUCGGUUUGAAGAUAAUUAGAGUCAAUUUUACAUCUGUAGCGGCCCAACAUCUCAAGAGUCAUCUUCAUGUCUUCUGAUCAAGAAAACAAGCAUGUAAUGUAUUCUAUGAACUGUCCUUUGGUAGAGUGUCAAUGACUCAAUCCAAGUUUCAAGUUCAAGUCCUAACUUCAAGAUCAAAUUCUGAGAUCAAGGUACCCACGAGAAGAAGGUGAGGUGAUAACUGAAGAUCCAAGAGGAAGAUCUGAAGCAAGAGAAUCAAGAUAAUAGAAUAGAUAGGAUCUUGUAUCUCCUUUCUAAUUUCAUUUUUCUUUUCUGAUGUAAUAAAAGGAGCCACGGACCAGAAACUCGACGGAACCUCAACUCGACUCUCCAACUUACCCAUUCAUUCCUACACCCACUUGUACUACAUGUGACUUGAUUCUCUUUUAACCCGAGAUAUGUAGGAUACCCAAAGCCAGGGCUCAGUCACAUUUCUUUCUUACUUAUGUAUUACUUUAGAAUAAAUGGUUGGGCCAAAAAAUUAAUCAUGUUUACUUCUUUGCUUGAAAAUUCUCCAUAUUUCCAAGCAAAGAGGGGUAUUCUGUAAACACAUAAUUUUUUACCAAACCUAAGUAUUUUUUUUUUCAUCUUUUUAGUGUUCGAUUUAUUUUUUUUAGGGUCUAAAUUAGAUAUUUUAAGUUUAUCUUAUUUUUACUAAAUAUGUUUUAAAAAUUUUGAAAACUACAAAAAUAGAGUCACAUUUUUAAAUAAGUUUUUUAUUAUUUAUUUAUUUAUUUUUUUUUAGGAAAAAGAAAAUUUGUUAAACUAUAUUUGUUUUCUUCUUUUAACUUUUAAUAAAUAAUCUAGUGAUUUUAAUACUCUGUAAUCAUGUUUAAGACUAAUUAUUUAACUUGUCUUUUAUUGGUUUUAGAUAAUUUUUAUUUUUUUAUUUUUCUUUAUUUUUAUUAAUUUUAAAAUAAUAAUAAUUUAAAAAAAAAAACCUAAACUACUCCCCCACAUACCCACUCCCUCAAAACCACUCCCUAAACACCACUCCUCUAACCUUCCCCACGUCCCAUUCUUUCCCCAUAUCCCAUAAUUCUCUCACUUUCACAACUCACACAAACACACCACACACGACACACACAUGCACUAAUAUAAAACCUCCUUUCCACACACAAGAGAGGAUACAUUUACAGAGACAAUUAGGGAGAACAUUACAAGGAAGGAGAGAGCAAAAACAAAGAAAGAAAUUUUAGAGAAAACAAGAAAAAAAAGGGCAAGAAAUAGAAAAAGAAAACAAAUGAAAAAACAAGAAGAACACUAAUAAAAAAAAAUAGAGUGUUUCUCUCCAAAAGUUCGAGGGUUGGAGUUUGAUCUUGGUCUUUGGUUUGAGUUUACGGUGCCGGUAUUCCUAUUCAUACUUUCAUUAAUUCAUUCCACAGGUUUUUAUUUUGAUCCUGUGCUAUUUAUUUUAUAAGUUUUAUUGUGAAUCGAAGAAUUAAUGAAAUUAUUGCAAGGUCUUUUUAUAUUGUCUAGUGUAUGUAAUUUGUUACUUUUACGUAGUUCGUGUUUUACGUCUUUAUUUUUUACUUGUUUGUUGACUUAAAAUAAUGUUGAUUAGGUUUUGAAUUUCGAAUGAUAUGGUUUUUAAAAGUUAAUAACUUUUAAAGAUUAAAAAGGUUACAUUAAGUCUAUGUGUAAUUAGGAAGUAUUUAUGAUAAAUCUUGCACCAUGCAUGCAUUAGAAACAAGAAUAAGAAAAAGUAAUAAGAAAGGAGGAGAAAGCAGUGGUAACAAAAUGAGGAGAACAUAGUUGACAAUGCAUGUAAGUAUAUACUAAAUAAUGGUUACGUUUUUAAUUUAUGGAUUAUGAAAAAUGUGAAAUUUUAAAACAUUACAAAUGAUACUACAGUACUGUACCUUUUUUUUUAGGCUCACAUGCUCUUUGCUUAUUAUUUUAUUUAUGUCGGGCUUUUUAAAUUAAUAACUACUAGUAAGUUUUAAUUAACCCGGUAGACCAAGUUUAUACGUGCUCUCUUAUUAUUUCUUUGAUUUACAACAACAACAAACAAUCAAUGUUAACCAUACUUUGAUACAGUUUGAAUAAGAGUUUAAAAAGUGAAUUAGUUUAUUAAUUUAAUAGUAUGAAAUUGAGUGAAUGAGACAUGAGCAUUACUUUCAAAUCUAUUAUUAAAAAAUAUUUUCAAGAGAAUGAGUUAGGUUCUUAUCCUCUAAACAAUUAAUAAUUUAAUAUACAAGUGAAAAUUAACGAUGAAGUUGGAAAGCCCUGCUAUGGACCAUUCGUUAUAAUAAAAUCUAACUUAUCAUUUUAAAGCCGAUCUAAUCAAGUUGGGUAGAUUCUGAACAUAUUAGGUGCUUAUUUAGACUUUGAAAAAUGAAGCGAUCCAUAAAAGCCUCAAAGGCCGAAAAAUACUACUAUCGGUAAGCCACACAUCAAUACAAUUUUAAAUAUAUUCAGAAAUAAAUAAAAGUAGGAUAGAAGUAACUUUUAGGCUAACAAAUAUUAUAUAUCCAAGAGAUUAAUUUAAGACAGAUUUAAGUCAUUAAAGCGGUCGUGCUAGAACCACGAGACUCGAUGGGUGCCUAACACCUUUCCCUCGGCCAACAAAAUUCCUUAUUCGGAUUUCUAGUUCGCAGACCAAUAAAACAAAGAGUCAUUUCCUUUUGAUUAGGGAUUCAAUAAGGUGACUUGGAACACCCAAACUCAAUUCCAAGUGGCCACUCUGUAAAUAAAAUAAUCCCUAUUCAAAACAUCACUUUAAUUGAAAAAACUCAUUUUCUCCAAAACUAACUCCUUAGCGGGGUUGGAUGCGGUAAAAAAUAGGGGUGUGACAGAUGGCGACUCUGCUGGGGAUAAUCAGAAUUUGAUCUUUUAUAUUGACUUGUUUGGCUUUAUUUAAUUUUGACAUUGCAUAUUGUUGGCCUAAAUGUGUUAUUUGCCGACAUGUUUAACUGCUUUGAUAUUAUUUGAUUUGCAAUAUAAACUGUCUUCUCUCACGUACCCAUCUGAGUCUUCUGAGAUACUUUAUAUUCGGAGAUGCGGUAUACGCUCCCAAACUUGAGAUACCAGAGAUGUGGCAACACUCCUGGGAAGGAUUUUGUAGUCGCCCAUGAUUUAGAAUGGGAAGGGACCAACAGUGAGGCCAGAAAGCCCUGCUACCGGUAAAGUUGUCCCUUGCCGACUUGAGUUGUCCGCUUGUUUUACAGCCAGUCUAGAUACCUAAAUCCACCAGGUUAAACCUAGCAUAACUGAUACUUAGACAUGGUUAUCCCUAUUAGGCUCCGCUUUAUUUACAUCACAUGAAUUUUUGACUUAGUGGAGGCUCGACAAAGAUUUGAAUGUCUAAAAGUAACCUCUUUAAAGACUAUUCAUUUUCUGUGCUACUAGUUGCAUUAACUGUCUGGUUGUUUCGAAUGUUGUCCAGCUUUGGAAUUCAUUAACGUAAGAAAGGCUAAAAAUUGCUCUCUAAAACCUAUUCUUUUUCAAAGCUCAAAUGAAGCACUAGAUUUGCUUUCACAAUAAAAGACAAAAAAAUAAUUUUCUAAAUUAUCGAGUUUGCCACAAUGUGCAUGAACUAUGCACACCUGAUUCUCGUCUCAGUGAGAUACGUAGGUAGCCCUCCAUGGGUUCGGUCAUCCUAAAAAACGAAGGUUGUAUUUUCUUAAGAGAAAAAAAAAAGUUUUGAUCCUUAAAAAAAAAUCAAUCAAUUUGUUUUCAAAAAUUAAAAAAAAAUUAUUAAUAAAUUCAAUAAAAUCAUUUUCUUUCCAAAUAAAAAGUGGAUUUCUUUACGUCUCCUGCUUCACAAACUACGCACACCUGAUUUUCAUCUCAGUGAGAUACAUAGGCAACCUUUCUUAGGUUCGUUGAUCCUCUUUCAAUUUGAAAAAAUAAAGGAUGUUAGUCUUCUUCAAAAAAAAAAAAAAAAAGAAAUCCUCAGCCAAAGUAAAAAAAAAGAAUGAAAGUGUUUAUUCAGAUUUUUAAAAAAGAAAAAAAAGAAAAAUUUUUCCUCCUUAUUCAAAAUUUAAAAAAAAAAGUUCUUGCUUCAUCUUUUAAGCUUCCUGAACUACGUUUGACCUGGUUCUUGUUUCAACAAGAUACGUAGGCAACUCUUCUUUUGAGUUUGGUCUCAUCUAAAAAAAUAAAUCUUGACCUAAUAAUUGGUACCAACAUACUUAAAAAUAUGAAUUGAAAAAAAAAUUAAGUGCAUUAUGAGAUAAGAUAGAGUGGACCAACUUGAUUGUGAACUACAGAUUCUUUUGAUGCCUCUAAUUAUACUAAAGUUCACUUGCAAAAUUUUUUUGUUCUAAGUUAAAUUUAAAAUAAAUCUUACCUCACUAUUUCAUGUGCAUUGAGUGGUGAGCUUUAGAUUGAAAAUUCAAAGGCAUCGCUCUGUUGAUCUAGAACUUAGCUUGAAUGUUUGUUGAGGCAAAAUUUUGAGAUACACUUGGUUUGGGAAAGGAUUGUAGGCCUUCUUUGAUCCGAUUGUGCAUUUCAAAACCCACCAAAUAACAUUAAUUCCUAGAACUUCCCCCUUUGAGCCUUAAACCUUUUCUUUGGAUAACCACAUCUGAGCCUGUACCUUUCGAGUACUUAUAUGCAUUAUCUCUCUUUUGACCUACUUCAUUGAGCGCACUAAAUACGUACAAGUUGCAAAUGAAGACUCAAGAUCAAAAGCGUCAAAGGCAAAGAAUGUAUAGCCUGAGAGAACAAAAAUAAAAGACGACUUCAAAGAAGAAAGAGCAAAACCCCAUAAAAAAAGAUUAAAUAAAAAAAGAGAAAACUCCAACAAAGAUGGAGAAUCUUCAUAAAAGGAAAGAAGGAAAAAUAAUAAUACUUUUAUCGAAAAGAAAAGGGAAAAAGCUCUAGCACAAGAUUUAAACAAAGUCAAAGCAAAUACAUGACAAGGGGCAAAGAAUCACAACAAAGAAGAUCGAGCGUCAAACCGCAACAAAUAGCAAAAGCACGGAAACAGUGCAGUUUUCAUUGAGGAAUUAAUCACUUAACUCCCAAAUAUCAUCCUACCUGUCCCUAAGCCUACAAUAUCAACCAAUGACAAGUCCUACAUGAUUCCAUUUUGAGUGUUCUUACAUUAGUGGAUAGUUACAUGAUUGUCAAGCUUAUGGUAUCUCAUUGAUGCGUUGAAUAUCUUUCGGAGUGUGAGUGAUUCUUGAAUGUCCUCAAAUUUAAAAUCUUUUAUUAUAAGUAAAUUAGUACUUUAGUUGUGGUAAGGGUACUUGAAACUUGAGGAUAAGAAGGAUUUUAAACACUUGAUUGAGGCAAGAUAAAAAGAUCUUGUCGAAAAUUAAGUAUAUUCGAGGUGCCAUUUGAAACUAUAGGGAUCACUUCUAAGUUGAUCUUGAUUUUUGCUCGAAAGUAAUUAGAGAUAAUUCAACCAUAAUACUAAUUGUUGGUACCAAUUGAGUUAAGAAAUGAAUUAAUUUCAUUCUUUCAUUCUCUAGAUAUUUACAAAGCACAUACUUUCAACAAAAAUGAAAUAAAAAAAAUAUGUUUGUUGUGCACUACAUUAGACCUGAUUCUUGCUACGUAAGAUACGUAGGCAAUCCUAUGAUAGGGAUCGCUCUCGCUGAAUAAAUUUUUUUUACAUCCCUAAAAGGCAUAAUACUGGAGCAUUUUUUUUUUAUUAAAAAUAAAAUUCAAAGUUCCUCGCAUAAAAAAUUGGGGCAUAUUUUUUUACUAAAAAAAAAAAAAAUCUCACUUACCUCAAUAGGUAAAGAAUCUCCUGAGUACUCCUUAGGGAACAAAACUUCCUAAAUCUUAUUGGUCUUCAUAGGGCGUCAUCCCCUAGUUGACAUCUUAUUCGUCUUUAUAGGGCGUCAUCCCCUAGUUGACAUCUUAUCUCGUCUUCAUAGGGCGCCAUACCCUAGUUGAUAUCUUAUCUCGUCCUCAUAGGGUGCCAUCCCCUAGUUGACAUCUUAUUCAUCUUCAUAGGGCGUCAUCCUCUAGUUGACAUCUUAGGAAACACCAUUUCCUAAUUUUUCUUAUUUGUCUUCAUAGGGCGCCAUCCCCUAGUUGACAUCUUAUCUCGUCUUCAUAGGGCGCCAUCCCCUAGUUGACAUCUUAUUCAUCUUCAUAGGGCGUCAUCCUCUAGUUGACAUCUUAGGAAACACCAUUUCCUAAUUUUUCUUAUUUGUCUUCAUAGGGCGCCAUCUCCUAGUUGACAUUUUAUUUCGACUUUAUAGGGCGUCAUCCCCUAGUUGACAUUUUAGGAAAUAAACCUUCCUAUUUUUCUUCUUUAUGUCUUCAUAGAGUAUGACAAUCCAUAGUCGCAUUUUAAGAAGUAAAUAUUCUAACUCUUUUGCAUGCAUUCAUAAGGCAUAAUUUCCUUUAGCUGCAUUAUUGAGAAUAGGAAUCUUAUUUUAUCGCGUACCUAGCCUAAAUUUCUAUCAUUUUCAUUUAUUCAUUUUAUUUAUUUAUUUUAAUUAGUUUAUAGUUUUUUCAUAACUCACAAAAUUUUCCUAGUGCAAACUGGGAUGGAAAAUUUUGCUCGUUUUGUUUUGUUUUUCUUUGAUAGCUUGAAGGUUUUUCUGCAAAGUACAUGUUUGAUGCCGAGAAUGAAACUUUGCCUCCGGUAAGAACAUAGAAGAAUGACCAGUUUAAAGAUAGUUAGAUUCAACUUUGCAUCUGUAGCGGCCCAACAUCUCAGGAGUCAUCUUCAUGUCUUCUGAUCAAGAAAACAAGCAUGCAAAGUAUUCUAUGAACUGUUCUUUGGUAGAGUGUCAAUGACUCAAUUCAAGUUUCAAGUUCUAGUCUCAAAUCCUAACUUCAAGAUCAAAGUCUGAGAUCAAGGUACCCACCAGUAGAAGGUGAGGCGAUAACUGAAGAUCGAAGAGAAAGAUCUAAAGCAAGAGAAUCAAGACAAUAGAAUAGAUAGGAUCUUGUAUCUCUUUUCUAGUUUCAUUUUUAUUUUCUGAUGUAAUAAAAGGAGCCACGAAUCGGAAACUCGAUGGAACUUCAACUCAACUCUCUAACCCACCCUUCCUCUCUUACAUCAAUUUGAACUACACGUGACCUGAUUCUCUUAUAACCCGACAUAUAUAGGAUGUCCAAAGCCAGGGCUCGGUCACACCUCUUUCCUACUUAUUUACAUAUUACUUUUGAAUAAAUGAUUGGGCCAAAAAUUAGUCAUGUUUACUUUUUUGCUUGAAAAUUCUCCAUAUUUUCGAGUAAAGAGGAGCAUUCUGUAAACACCUAAUUUUUUAUAAAACCUUUCUUUGCUUGAAAAUUCUCCAUAUUUUCAAGUAAAGAGGGGCAUUCUGUAAACACCUAAUUUUUUACCAAACCUAAUGUUUUUAUACCAUUUUAAUGUUCAAUUUAUUUUUAUUGUUUUUUAGGUCUAAAUUAGAUAUUUUAAGUUUAUCUUAUUUUACAAGUUUUGUUAGAAGUUUUGAAAACUACAAAAAUUAGAGUCACAUUUUAAUAAGCUUUUAUUUUAUUACUUAUUUAUUUAUUAAUUUUUAAAAAAAUAAUAAAAAUUAUAUUUGUCUUGUUAUUUUAACUUUUAAUAAAGAAUCUAGUGAUAUUAAUAUUUUUUUAAUCAUAUUUCUAAGAAGCUAGCUAUUUAACUUAUCUUGUAUUUUAUUAGUUUUAAAUAAAUUUUAUCUUCUUUCUAUUUGAAACAUUAAAAAAAAAAGAGAAAAAAAAAAGAAAAGAAACCCUAAACUACCCAAAAACCCACGUUCCACACCAAUCCCACUAAUUCCCCACGUCCACCAUCCUCAACUUCCAACACAUGCACACAAUCACACAAUAUAUAAUACCUCACAAGCAUACACAAAAAGAAGGGAGGGAUGAGGGAGAACAUUGAAUGAGAGAAAAACACAGAAAGAGAGAAUAAUAAAGAAAGGAAAACACUUAGAAAAGAAGGGAGAAUAGAACACAAAAAGAGAUUAGAGAAAAGAAACAGAAAAACAAGAAGAAAAAGUGAGAAAAACGAAGACAGAAAAGGAGAAGAGAAGAAGAGUUUGGGUUAAGAGUUUGGAGUUUCGUUUGACGUUUCUGGUGAGGGAUUUUCUUACGACGUUAUGCGGUUCGAUUUACUGUAGAGGUUCUUGCCUAAUACCUUUCUAUUUUGUUUAUUAUAAGUUCAUUAUGAAUCAAUAUAUGGACAAAGUUAUUUAAAUGGUCUCCUGUAUUAUAUAUUAUAGUUUAGUUUGAUAUUUCUGGCAGAGCUUCUGCUAUGCAAAUAAACUCUUCUCUUGAAAUUUCUUUGUACGAAGAAGCGAGGGAGAAAAUCGAAACAAAAUCUUAUAAAAGUUGAUUCAUAUUUGAUUAUAUCGUGUGUUAAGUAUUUAUUUAUAUAAAUGGGUCAUAACCAUCUACCCGCUAGACUAUUUGGUAUUUAAUAUCCUUAGUUCAUUUUAAUACUAGUUCUUAACAUAAUUAGUAUGUUGAUGGGUGAAGUGGAUGUUUUACAGAAAUAUGAUCGUUUGGCAUGGGAAUGUUCUGUCUAGUAAUAUUAUCAGAAUGCAUUGUCUAUUCUUUUUUUUUAUAAGAUUUGCAUUUUGUAAACUAAGAAUAAAAAAAUAUCAUCAAGUAAAACCGAAAGGAAAUUCGAAAUGAGAUAAGCUUGAAUAGUUAGAGUAAAAGCAAAAUCAAGAGUCUCAAAUUCAAAAGCAGUGUAUUUGAUUAUUGAAGGAUAAGGCUUAAGUGAUGGAUAUAUCUUUUGUUAUUUUAUUUAUUUAUUUAUUUAAUGGGUUGUCCUGGGAAGUAGUAUGAAAGCCUUGAUUAAUAACUCUUCUUAUCCUAUAUUAUGGGUUUUAACCAAGAAUGAUUUCUUUUUUUGUAAACAUGCUACUAUGUAAUGCUAUUUGGUGAUUUGUGUGCUUUAACAUUGUUACCUUUACUUUAUGCAUGUAAAAGAACUAACUUCCAGUGUAAAUCUUUAUUGAAAUUGAUAUUUGAGUGUUCGAUUUUUUUUAGUUUCGCCAUUGUUACUUUUAUUUGUCCUUACCUUUACUAGAAGUGAAAUAAAGUUUGAGCAAUUAUAUUUAAUAAAGAUAGAGGAUUACUAUGCAUGGAACAAUGUUCGAAUUUUAUUUUUGCGUAAAAGAGAGGAAAGACUCAUUUGCAAGGGAGCAAACUCGAAAAGAAUGAUUUAGGUUCUUGAUCUUUAAAAAAUUUUAAAGUUUUAUACAUAAGUAAAAAUUAACGGUGAAGUUGGAAAGCCCUGCUACCGACCAUUCAUUAUAAUAAAAAUCAACAUACUGUUUUAAAACCGAUCUAAUUCUGUUGGAUAGAUCUUAAACAGAUUAGGUGCUUAUUUAGACUAGGAAAAUGGGGACGACUCAUAAAUGCCUCAAAGGAACGAGAAAUAUAUCAAAAUUCGUGGUAAGGCCGAAAAGUACUACUAUCAGUAAGCCACACCUCAAUACAGUUUUAAAUAUAUUCAAAAAUAAAUAAAAGCGGGAUGUAAGUUACUUAUAGGCUAACAAAUCUUCUGUAUCUAAAAGAUCAAUUUAAGCCAGACGUAAGUCAUUAAAGCGACUAUGUUAGAACCACGGGACUCGAGGGGUGACUCACACCUUCCCCUCGGUCAACAGAAUUCCUUAUCCGGAUUACUAGUUCGCAGACCAAUAAAACAAAGAGUCAUUUCCUUUUGAUUGGGGAUUCAAUAAGGUGACUUGGAACACCCAAACUCAAUUCCAAGUGGCGACUCUGUAAAAUAAUUAAUCCCUUUUCAAAACGUUACUUUAAUUGGAAAAACCCAUUUUCUCUAAAACCAACUCCUUAGUGGGGUCGGAUGCGGUGAAAAAUAGGGGUGUGACAAUACUUAGCCAUAUUUUUAAGUAACUACCACUACUUAAAAAAACAAGAAAAGCGACCACAAAAAUCGACCACAUGUGGUCGCUUUUCUGUUUCACUUCAAGUCGCUAAUUCACUUCACAAGUUACCAAACUAAAUUAAAUUCAAAACAAAAGUUCACAUUUCAAAUACCUACACUUAAACAUUUUCAAGUCACUAAUUCACAUAACAAGUUACCAAACUAAACUAAAUUCAAAACAAAAGUUCACAUUUCAAGUACCUACACUUAAACAUUUUCAAGUCACUAAUUCAUUUCACAAGUUACCAAACUAAACUAAAUUCAAAACAAAAGUUCACAUUUCAAGUACCUUCACUUAAACAUUUUCAAGUUGCUAAUUCACUUCUCAAGUGACCAUGUACUUUACUAAAUUCAAAACAAAUGUUCACAUUUCAAAUACCUACAUUUAAACAUUUCAAGUAACUAAUUCACUUCACAAGUGACCAUGUAUUUUACUAAAUUCAAAACUAAAGUUCACAUUUCAAGUACCUACACUUAAACAUUUUCAAGUCACUAAUUCACUUCUCAAGUGACCAUACUUUACUAAAUUCAAAGCACAAAUUCACAUUUCAAAUACCUACACUUAAACAUUUUCAAGUCAUUAAUUCACUUCUCAAGUGACUAUGUACCGUACUAAAUUCAAAAAAAACUUCACCUUUCAAGUACCUACACUUAAAUAUUUCAAGUCACUAAUUCACUGCACAAGUUAUAACUAAACUAAACUAAAUUCAAAACACAAGUUCACAUUUCAAUUACCUACACUUAAACAAAUCGAAGUCACUACCUUACUAAAUUCAAAACAAAAGUUCACCUUUCAAGUACCUACACUUAAAUAUUUCAAGUCACUAAUUCACUGCACAAGUUAUAACUAAACUAAACUAAAUUCAAAACACAAGUUCACAUUUCAAUUACCUACACUUAAACAAAUCGAAGUCACUACCUUACUAAAUUCAAAACAAAAGUUCGUCUUUCAAGUACCUACACUUAAACAUUUCAAGUCAGUAAUUCACUUCACAAAAGUUACCAAACUAAACUAAAUUCAAAACAAAAGUUCACCUUUCAGGUAUUACCAAACUAAACUAAAUUUAAAACACAAGUUCACAUUUGAAGUACCUACACUUAAACAAAUCGAGGUCACUACCUUACUAAAUUCAAAACAAAAGUUCACCUUUCAGGUAUUACCAAACUAAACUAAAUUUAAAACACAAGUUCACAUUUGAAGUACCUACACUUAAACAAAUCGAGGUCACUACCUUACUAAAUUCAAAACAAAAGUUCACCUUUCANNNNNNNNNNNNNNNNNNNNNNNNNNNNNNNNNNNNNNNNNNNNNNNNNNNNNNNNNNNNNNNNCCGUCCCACUCCCCUCCCAUCCCAGGCUCCGCCCGAGCCCAGAACCGCCCCUCCCUUUCCCGUCCCAGGCUCCGCCCAAGCCCGGGACCGCCCCUCCCCCUCCCCCAAAUUGUGUAAUGUUAAGUUAAUGUGUAUAUUUAUGCUAUUUUUUCUAUUAAAUAACUGCUUCAGGUGAUAGUAAAUUAAAAUACACUAUAUCGUUUUUAAACAAUAUAUUUGAAUAAAAGAAUUUAUUCGUGAGGAAAUUGCGGAUAAUAAAAUUAGAAUAUAGAUAAUCCGACAGUUUAUUAUAGGCUUUUAAAUUUAUGAUAAAAUAUAUAUAAACUAGACCUUGAUAGAGAAUGAUGAAAUGCUUAUCAAUAGCUAAAUAAUGAUCUAAUUGUUGUUUGGCCAAGCCAUCUAAUUAGGUUUUAGGAGAUGAGCUCAUUUUAUCCUAAGCACAAGGUUUAUUUGGACAAUGCCAUUUAUAGGGGUAGUACUUACUUCUAAUGCAUUUUUUUCUGUUUGUAGGGUAGAAUCCGAGAUCUUCGAUUAAAUAAUAUAAGGAUCCUAACUAUUUCAUCACAACUCAUAUUGAUAAAAAUAAAUCCAUACAUCUGAUUGCAAAAAAAAGUAUCAAUAUUAACAUCUAAUUAAUUUUACAAAACAAAACAAAAAGUUUAAGAUGUAUUAACUAAACUAGUACUUUUUAGGCUAAUGACUGAAACAGAUGCACAUUGAUGAGCUAAAAUUAUAUCAUAUGUUUGUAGCUCAUAACAUUAAAAUUCAUUUAAUUACAGAGUGUUCCUGCCUAACUUUAUCUAAACAUAGAUCACCAAGUUUCAUGAUUUUGAGUUUUUUUUUCUCUCCUUCAAAUUGCAUUUUGCACCAUAAUAACAUCUUAUUUUUAAAAGUUUAUGUCGAUUCACAUGAGAUACGCACGCCCACCUGAAAGAAAAGAUGAAGAGUGAAUACUUGAGUCUAGAGAAGCCACCUAUUAUCUCUCUCACGUCCACCGUUCCAACACAGUUAUUGUCAAAUAGAUCAAAUAUCCUCCCAGGCAAAGGCACCAACGAUGUCAUUUCCAUAGCUUUUAGCACCUCUUCAAACGCCAACAAUGUUGUAUUUUCUCCAUUUUUGCAUCUGUGCUAUUUUUUUUACAUUACUAAUGUACACAAUAUUUUACUAAAAUAAAGUUCAUUGACUAUGCAUGUAACUACGAACCCAUAAGUGUCACACUUGUUUGACAUGAGUACAUCUGGGAAAAUGACAAAGUCCACUGCCCAUGUAGUAAUAGGAGUAAUCUGGCAUAGAUGAGCUGCCUCGUUUUACAUGAUUAGUCCUUGCUUGAUCAUGUGCAGUUUAUCAGUUUAUUGCCGUUAGUUUCUUUGUACUAAUUUGGCAUUUUGUGUGAGCAAAUAGUAUCUAUGCUCUGAGCUCUCCACCCUAUCCACCCCUUCCCCCCACUAACUGUCCCUUGCAAGGGAUUUGCUUCUUUCAGUCACAUGUGGGAGUAACUCUACUUAAUGCAAUGCCUCCCCCUAAAGGAGAAAAGUCAUCUGAUGGAUCAUCUAUCAAUGAUUUUGCAAAACCUGCCAAGUCGAAGAAACUUAAACUUGCUACAGAAAAUGGAGAAGGCCCUUCAAAAAGAAAAGCUACCAGAAGUCAAGCUGGUAAUCACCAUCUUACACCUGCAGAGAUGCAGCGACAGAAACUAAAGAAACUUAUGGAUGAGCUUAAUGAGGGAGGUGGUGAUGGUCAGGCACCAAUUGUGAAACUUGGGGAUGCUUCAAUGGCAUCACCAUUCACUGCAAAGUAUGCUUCUGUCUGCCCUACCACUGACAUCAUCCGUCAAGACUCACACGCCACUGCCUAUUUGGUAAACAAUAAGUUUGAGUUAUUGCUUUUAUUAGGUUUGCACUAUAGUGCGACAUUGGUGCAUUAUGGAUGCUUCUAAAAGUACUGUGCAGCGCACCUGUUGAGAAGCGAAUUAUAACCCCAUUAUCUCCAAAAAAAAAGACUCAUAGAAUGACCCAUACGUCCUACAAAUAUACUCUUCACAGAGAAAAUUCUCUAAUCCACGCUUUAUUAUAAACAUCUCGUGUUUCUAGAAAUCCUGAACUUGAAUCCUCUUCAGCAAGCUUGGGGAAAAUCCAUGCUAUUUUUUUUGCUCAACAUGGAGGCAACUAAGUCGUAGUACGCGUGGAUAUUGGCUCUCUAUAAACAUCCCCUAUAGGGUAGCUGGCCAUAAGUUUCAAAUCUUGCCUGAGUCUAGAUGGAAAAUAAGUAUUUGAUUCUCAAGUUACUCAAUCGAGCAUGUUGCUUGCAGUAGACAUAUGUUAUUAAACAAACUCACUCCAAGAAAACCCUGAUAUGAACUAAACACUGACUGAAUGCAGGUUGAAAACUCCGUAUAAAUCAACUUCGAUUUGUUAAAGGCUUAAAAGGAUAGUUAAGAAACAAAUAAACAAUUACAACUUUGAAAAAAGAACUAACCUUGGUACGCCUCAUUUAUUUCUUGAAACCUUGGUAGCGUUCCAAGAACCAUUAAAAACGACUGGAUACAUUUCUUGCCGGCUGAUCGUUGGGCUGGCUUUCGGUGCUGGUAGCGGAUAGAAGAGAUGAUGAGAGGCGGUGGCGGCGGCACUAGUUUGCUCGUCGACUGCAUGGCUGUUGUGCAGCGGCGGCUGGUGGCGCUAGGGAGGGAAAGGAGAGAGGAAGAAAGGAGGGGCGGCAGUCUUGCCGGCGACGCAGCUCACCGGAGCGUGGUAUUCGCCGGUGGUUGACCUUAGAAUGAGAGAAGAGAGAAGGGAUAGAAAAGGUGCGGCUCAUUU
rnacentral:lncRNA from 1 species